GACGCACGCUGGCGGCGUGCUUAACACAUGCAAGUCGAACGGAAAGGCCCUGCUUUUGUGGGGUGCUCGAGUGGCGAACGGGUGAGUAACACGUGAGUAACCUGCCCUUGACUUUGGGAUAACUUCAGGAAACUGGGGCUAAUACCGGAUAGGAGCUCCUGCUGCAUGGUGGGGGUUGGAAAGUUUCGGCGGUUGGGGAUGGACUCGCGGCUUAUCAGCUUGUUGGUGGGGUAGUGGCUUACCAAGGCUUUGACGGGUAGCCGGCCUGAGAGGGUGACCGGCCACAUUGGGACUGAGGUACGGCCCAGACUCCUACGGGAGGCAGCAGUGGGGAAUAUUGCACAAUGGGCGGAAGCCUGAUGCAGCAACGCCGCGUGCGGGAUGACGGCCUUCGGGUUGUAAACCGCUUUCGCCUGUGACGAAGCGUGAGUGACGGUAAUGGGUAAAGAAGCACCGGCUAACUACGUG
rnacentral:rRNA from 1 species